rnacentral:lncRNA from 1 species
GGGAGCAUAUAUAAUAGCACAUAUAAUAGGAAAACAAAUCAGUGUAGAGAUUAACCAAUGAAGUAUUUAAGGUGCUUUAUCUUGUUGUGGUUGUGGGUUGCUCAACAUGUAUGGUUACUUGAAAGCACUACUAAGGAAGGCACUUUUGAUGUCCAUUUGGCUUGACAAGUGACAAUGAGCAGUAGCCUCACCCAUUCUAGAUGUGCAAUGGGUGUAAUAGUCUCAUCUUUCAUAGCCAAGAUCCAUU